ACGUUCUAAAACCGUUAAAAGAACGCGUGGCUGCGGAGCCUGGAGAUGCGCCUGAUCUUACAUAUUAUGAACUAACCUGAAUGUCCUCGAUUCUGGCUCCUGCACUCAGGCGCGUCCGUAUAGCUCACAUGUGCUGCCGAAGCAUGUUUCAGCAGCCCUUACCUUUAAGUUUGAGGAUAAUCUUCAGCCAGGAUCAGGGUACCUAGCUAUUUGCCGAAAACUGCUGCUUCCGUUUAAGACUGCAAUCCAAUGCACACCAAGCAGUUUCUUUUGUUUAAUUUAUUCUUGCAGGUGCAAUAGGUAGUUCGUGUGGCGUAUGCUUGAAAUGCUGCAGUCCUGUGCGCACUUAUUUGGCAGAAUGGGGAAGCUUUUUGUCCUCUUUGAUCUUUCGCUCCCACCACCCUGCAAGCUGACCCUCUGUCAUCAUGAUGAUGUCAGGUGACUGAUAGGUGCAGCUUAUAUUCGCAACCUUACAGUAUGCAGCAAGGAGCUCGGGGCAAACAGCGCCAGGAGCGUAGCGUAGCGAUGCCCACCCCACACGCAGUCCCAUCCUCUCACCCAAGGCCGGGAAGGGAGAGC